CUGCGCGGAAGAUGUAACGGGGCUAAACCAUGCACCGAAGCUGCGGCAGCGACACUGUGUGUUGUUGGGUAGGGGAGCGUUCUGUAAGCCUGUGAAGGUGUGUCGUGAGGCAUGCUGGAGGUAUCAGAAGUGCGAAUGCUGACAUAAGUAACGAUAAAGCGGGUGAAAAGCCCGCUCGCCGGAAGACCAAGGGUUCCUGUCCAACGUUAAUCGGGGCAGGGUGAGUCGACCCCUAAGGCGAGGCCGAAAGGCGUAGUCGAUGGGAAACGGGUUAAUAUUCCCGUACUUGGUGUUACUGCGAAGGGGGGACGGAGAAGGCUAUGUUGGCCGGGCGACGGUUGUCCCGGUUUAAGCGUGUAGGUGUGUGUUCCAGGUAAAUCCGGUUCACUUUAACACUGAGGCGUGACGACGAGGCACUACGGUGCUGAAGCAACAAAUGCCCUGCUUCCAGGAAAAGCCUCUAAGCAUCAGGUAACAUCAAAUCGUACCCCAAACCGACACAGGUGGUCAGGUAGAGAAUACCAAGGCGCUUGAGAGAACUCGGGUGAAGGAACUAGGCAAAAUGGUGCCGUAACUUCGGGAGAAGGCACGCUGACACGUAGGUGAAGUGAUUUACUCAUGGAGCUGAAGUCAGUCGAAGAUACCAGCUGGCUGCAACUGUUUAUUAAAAACACAGCACUGUGCAAACACGAAAGUGGACGUAUACGGUGUGACGCCUGCCCGGUGCCGGAAGGUUAAUUGAUGGGGUCAGCGCAAGCGAAGCUCCUGAUCGAAGCCCCGGUAAACGGCGGCCGUAACUAUAACGGUCCUAAGGUAGCGAAAUUCCUUGUCGGGUAAGUUCCGACCUGCACGAAUGGCGUAAUGAUGGCCAGGCUGUCUCCACCCGAGACUCAGUGAAAUUGAACUCGCUGUGAAGAUGCAGUGUACCCGCGGCAAGACGGAAAGACCCCGUGAACCUUUACUAUAGCUUGACACUGAACAUUGAGCCUUGAUGUGUAGGAUAGGUGGGAGGCUUUGAAGUGUGGACGCCAGUCUGCAUGGAGCCGACCUUGAAAUACCACCCUUUAAUGUUUGAUGUUCUAACGUGGACCCGUUACCCGGGUUGCGGACAGUGUCUGGUGGGUAGUUUGACUGGGGCGGUCUCCUCCUAAAGAGUAACGGAGGAGCACGAAGGUUGGCUAAUCCUGGUCGGACAUCAGGAGGUUAGUGCAAUGGCAUAAGCCAGCUUGACUGCGAGCGUGACGGCGCGAGCAGGUGCGAAAGCAGGUCAUAGUGAUCCGGUGGUUCUGAAUGGAAGGGCCAUCGCUCAACGGAUAAAAGGUACUCCGGGGAUAACAGGCUGAUACCGCCCAAGAGUUCAUAUCGACGGCGGUGUUUGGCACCUCGAUGUCGGCUCAUCACAUCCUGGGGCUGAAGUAGGUCCCAAGGGUAUGGCUGUUCGCCAUUUAAAGUGGUACGCGAGCUGGGUUUAGAACGUCGUGAGACAGUUCGGUCCCUAUCUGCCGUGGGCGCUGGAGAACUGAGGGGGGCUGCUCCUAGUACGAGAGGACCGGAGUGGACGCAUCACUGGUGUUCGGGUUGUCAUGCCAAUGGCACUGCCCGGUAGCUAAAUGCGGAAGAGAUAAGUGCUGAAAGCAUCUAAGCACGAAACUUGCCCCGAG
rnacentral:rRNA from 1 species